GUGGGGAAUUUUGGACAAUGGGCGCAAGCCUGAUCCAGCAAUGCCGCGUGCAGGAAGAAGGCCUUCGGGUUGUAAACUGCUUUUGUACGGAACGAAACGGCUCUGGUUAAUACCCGGGGCUAAUGACGGUACCGUAAGAAUAAGCACCGGCUAACUACGUGCCAGCAGCCGCGGUAAUACGUAGGGUGCAAGCGUUAAUCGGAAUUACUGGGCGUAAAGCGUGCGCAGGCGGUUUUGUAAGACAGGCGUGAAAUCCCCGGGCUCAACCUGGGAAUGGCGCUUGUGACUGCAAAGCUGGAGUGCGGCAGAGGGGGAUGGAAUUCCGCGUGUAGCAGUGAAAUGCGUAGAUAUGCGGAGGAACACCGAUGGCGAAGGCAAUCCCCUGGGCCUGUACUGACGCUCAUGCACGAAAGCGUGGGGAGCAAACAGGAUUAGAAACCCGUGUAGUCC
rnacentral:rRNA from 1 species